rnacentral:lncRNA from 1 species
CAGUGCCAUUCAUCUCCAGCGCCAGGACGCUUCAUAAAUAUUAGUGGAGCCUCCCCACCGUGAGCAGGAGGGAGUGGUGGCUGUGUGGGCAGCAGCGCCCAUGGGACACAGCUGGGGGGGCGCACAGCAGGGCGCAGCUCGUCCCCCUCUGCAACCACAGUGACCCAGGGGUGUGGGUUAGGGUUAUGGUUGUGGUUAUGGUUAAGGUUAUGGUUAAGGUUAUGGUUAUGGUUAAGGUUAAGGUUAUGCUUAAGGUUAUGGUUAAGGUUAGGGUUAUGGUUAGGAUUAGGGUUAUAGUUAUGGUUAUGGUUAAGGUUAAGGUUGUGGUUAUGUUUAAGGUUAGGGUUAGGGUUAUGGUUAUGAUUGGGUUUAUAGUUAUGGUUAGGUUUAAGGUUAAGGUUAGGGUUAAGGUAAGGGUUAGGUUUAGGGUCAGGUGGCCAUUGCCACACACUGCCAGAAAUGGCACCGACCUCUUCUAGGAGAGCACACGGCAGCUUUGGCUCUUUGUGAUGGAAAUGCGGCCCCGCGGGAGCAAAAGGCUGAAGUGCUCCCGGUGCUGCUCCAACCUCUGCCGGGGAUUCAGAGCACCUCAUUGACAAUGAUAUUUUUUAUUCUGAAAUGGAAGAAAGCAGCCGCUAUCUGUACAAACAAAAUUAGGCCAAAGGAGGAAAGUAAUUUUGUAAAAGAAAUAGGGAGAUGCAGGGAGAGAUGGAUGGGAGACAGAUGAAUAAACACAAUCUACAUAGGAACUGAUAAAAAUUCAAUUUCUGCUCACACACGUCCCGCUCGCAUUCGCUCCCUUCCUUUCCUCUUCUCCGCACGCUCCGGCGCUGCCUGCAGCCCUGCAGCCUCCAUCUGUGCUGUGGGAGGCACAGAACCCGCUCUGCCUUCAGCACUCUGCAGCGUUCCCCUCCAGCGCGGUGCUCUCAGCCCUGCGGCUUCAGCCCCGAUGUCUUCCCCUUGUGAGGAGUGGGGGGGAAAGGGUGAAAGCGCGCCCUGCGCCCAUGGCACCCCGGGGGGAUCUAUGGGUUCGGCUCACCCCGAUCCUGGAUGUCCCCACAAACCCCGGCCCGUGGGAGUGCUGGGCUCCCCCUUUGCUUUUUGGGCACGCUGAGCUCCGGUGGCUCUGAGUCAUUAAAGAAAAGAACACCUCCAAAAUUCCCCCACAUUUCCCGUGGGGAAACCGAAACACGCUGCCCUGUGCUGACAUCCCAUCUGGGAGCAUCCGUGUGGCACAGUACCUGAGGAUGGGCAGCGUGGAGGGAGAGAAGGUAAACAGGCACCUGAGGGCAGAUGGGCUGGGAAUCGAUGGGAGAGGCUUCGGAGCUGCAUUCUGGGAGGCUUCCAGCAGCAGUGCAGUGUUGGAGUGCAUCGGGGGCCAACCCUGCAGCGUUCAUUGGGGUGAGGCUGUAUGGGUGCCAUGGGG